ACAAGUGGAGCCUUAAUUGGGGGGCAACAAUGGCAAUCCACACUGAAAUCGAUCUUUUUUAGAGCUGAGAGCACCUAUCUAGCCAAACACCCCAUUUUUGUUCUGGAGUUUUGGAGCGGAGCUGGCUCCAUGUGGAGUUCUGGAGUGGAGCAGCUCCAUCCGGAGUUGGAGCCAUGCCAAACAGGGCCUAAAUAUUACUAAAUUAAUCUAAUAGUAAACAUCGGGUCAAUAUACAUGACAAG
rnacentral:lncRNA from 1 species